AUGGCUCAGGAUGAACGCUAGCGACAGGCCUAACACAGUGCAAGUCGAGGGGCAGCACGGGAGUAGCAAUACUUGGUGGCGACCGGCGCACGGGUGAGUAACGCGUAUGCAACCUACCUAUCGAGAGGGGAAUAACCCGGCGAAAGUCGGACUAAUACCGCAUAAAACAGGGGCACCGCAUGGUGAUAUUGUUAAAGAAAUUCGCUGAUAGAUGGGCAUGCGUUCCAUUAGGUAGUUGGUGAGGUAACGGCUCACCAAGCCGACGAUGGAUAGGGGAACUGAGAGGUUGGUCCCCCACACUGGUACUGAGACACGGACCAGACUCCUACGGGAGGCAGCAGUGAGGAAUAUUGGUCAAUGGGCGGGAGCCUGAACCAGCCAAGUCGCCGUGAAGGAAGAAGGAUCUAUGGUUCGUAAACUUCUUUUGCAGGGGAAUAAAGUGCAGGACGUGUCCUGUUUUGUAUGUACCCUGAGAAUAAGGAUCGGCUAACUCCGUGCCAGCCGCCGC
rnacentral:rRNA from 1 species